GACACCCUCUGGGUUUAUGGACCUGAGCCCCAAGCAUCUGAUGCCCUUUUCUGCUCCCAGAUCAGUGCCAAUCUGAGUGGUCUGAGCUCCCCCUCCGCGGAUGCGGCCCUAGGCAUUUGGAGAACAAGAUGGUGGCAGCUCCCCCUGUUUAACACAGUCUACCUAGACCUGGUAUGGCCAACAUCAAGGGAUUAUGACAGGUGCAGCAGCACUCAAGCAUUGCAUUUCUCUCAGAGGACACGUUUGUAUUUGGUGGUUGGGGCUGGGAUGAAGAAUCAAGGGAAAGUGCUGAUGACAAACACGAGGCCCCCAUCCUCCCGUCAUCCGGCAUGUCUGAUACCAAGGCCGUCCUGGAUCCUCGGUGGGCAGAGGUGCGCUUCCAUGGACCUUCACCAAAAAAAAUAAAAAAACCUGGACGCUUCCUGGUGACACCUCGUUCCUCUCUCUCUCUCUCUACCUCUCUCUCUGUCUCUCCCUGCUUCCCUGAUGUUAUCAGAGGCUGUCCGGGACGCCCAGCGUAACCCCUUUGUGGCUCGCGGACCCGUCUUCCGUCUGCACACGUGUGUGUCACAUUAUCUGUCAAGAGGCCAG
rnacentral:lncRNA from 1 species